UACACUCCUGCGGGAGGCAGCAGUGGGGAAUCUUGCGCAAUGGGCGAAAGCCUGACGCAGCCAUGCCGCGUGAAUGAUGAAGGUCUUAGGAUUGUAAAAUUCUUUCACCGGGGACGAUAAUGACGGUACCCGGAGAAGAAGCCCCGGCUAACUUCGUGCCAGCAGCCGCGGUAAUACGAAGGGGGCUAGCGUUGCUCGGAAUUACUGGGCGUAAAGGGAGCGUAGGCGGACAUUUAAGUCAGGGGUGAAAUCCCGGGGCUCAACCUCGGAAUUGCCUUUGAUACUGGGUGUCUUGAGUACGAGAGAGGUGUGUGGAACUCCGAGUGUAGAGGUGAAAUUCGUAGAUAUUCGGAAGAACACCAGUGGCGAAGGCGACACACUGGCUCAUUACUGACGCUGAGGCUCGAAAGCGUGGGGAGCAAACAGGAUUAGAUACCCCGGUAGUCCC
rnacentral:rRNA from 1 species